rnacentral:rRNA from 1 species
GCCAGAGGCCUUAGCAUGUUGAACGUUCCAGUUCUCAUUUCUCAAUUGAACACUGAAGAUAAGCAACGUUCCACCUGGUUGGUAUCCGGAUAGGUGACCAUCUGGGCAAUCGCGUGCUGCUGGCU